AUUGCUAGAAGUGCCACUGCAGUUUUGGGAGUUCAGAAAUACCACCUUACUAUCCAGGGGUGUGUGUGUGUAUGUGUGUGUGUGUGUGUGUGUGUGUGGAAAUAAGCAGUUAGCAUUAAGAGGGAAGCAGUGCAGGUGAUAUCUUCAGAUGAGUUAAGUUUCAUUUAUGGCAGGGAAUGUAGAAGUUGAAGAUAGAGUUUUGUUGAUUAUUCUACAUGGAUAGUUCUAGAAAAUACUGUGGGAAAGUUUUGAAGAUGAGGAUAUGGUAGAGAGCUGAGUCCAAAAAAAAAGAAGUCCAGAACAUUGAGAAGAACAGUACAGUAGAUGAUAGAACAUCAUGUUUCCUUAUAUAUGAGUCAUUGACUGAUAUAAACAGAAAAGAGAGCAAUGGUGGAUGGAGAACCCUUUUGAGCAGGGUGAUGUCAGAGUGUAGGGACUUGACAGUUUGCCUCUGUCAGCUGGAGUGACCUUCCCCAGUGGUUUCCAACUAUGGCUAUAUGAUAAGUAGCCAGGGUGAAGGUGGUUAGAGAAAUCACCACCAUUAUAAAUUAAUACAUUGCCGUGUAUAUUUAUAUAUCAAUCCCCGCCAAGUAUUUUUAGUGUGAAUCAUUGUAAUAGUAUAAUAAAAUUUUUGUAUAUUGACAUAAUUGAUUUUCUGCACCUACAAAUCUAAUGUCCAAUAUUUAAAUUACUAUGUUUCCACCCAGGUCAUUGCAUUAUGAGAUUUGCAACCUAAUAGCCAAACAGUCAACUUUGGGGGAAAAAUCAUACUAUCUUCUCAUGUCUUUUAAAUUGAAAUACAUACGAAAUAGGAUUUUUAUCAUAUAUGAAAAAAGUAAUCAACCUAUUAUUUUUUGUCAUAAUGAGACAGGCUUAAUACUUUGUCAACGUAUGACUUUUAGUUUUCUUAAGUUUCUUAUGUCACAGAAUCAAUGCUUAAUGAUGACUUGUGGAAAAGUUGAAAAGGCUUAAGGUUUUUAGUACCUAAAGCUAUUUUUUAACAUGUUAUACUAGCCAAAGAAUUUGUCCUAAAAGCAUUUAUUGUCUGUUCCAGGAUUCAUAAACACACAUUAUAAUUUUAUUGAAUUCAGCCUAUUUUAAAAAUUGAAAAGACAUAAUUUUUCUAUUUAUAACCUAACUACAACCUGUGCAUUUAAAAAAGAAAAAAAGAAAAACAAAACAACACUUCAAAGACAAGCUGUAGAGGUAAUUUAGUCUGUCUGUAUUUAAAAUGAGCCAAAAGGAAAAAAAAAAAACACCGAAAUACAAUUGGCUAAUUGCUUUCAAUUUGGCUUUAUUUCCUUGACACUAAUGGAGAAAUUCUAACAUCUACCCAACGAAUGAGUUGGGAAGUUAUGAGCUUUUUCUGAGUAUGGAUAUCAAGUUGGGGGAGAAAAAGUUUAUUUGCUGUUUAGAGAACAGCAAAGACUGAACAGACAUCAUCUAUGUCUGCAUUUCAGUCUGUUAUGUGUCAGGGUGUGUGACCCUGACACAUGAUUGAAGUAAAACAUGGGUGUGCAAAAAUAUAUUGUCAACCUACUGUGCUUAAUGUCAUGAUAGAUGUUCCAUCAGAGCCACAGAAUAGUCAUCUAUACAGCAACAAUGAUGAACAACAAUAGCGAUAAUUGUUAGUACCAACUACGAAAUACUCUUUAUAUCCAGGUUCCUUGCUAAGUGCUUUGUAAUGUGUUACUCCUUGAGUUCUCACUGAAGAAUAUAGGUGUAAUUGUCCUUAUUCUAGUAGAAACAAAUUAUAAUGAUCUCUGAGGUAAAUAUUUUUUCAUAGUAAGUGGAAGAUGCAGGAUUCACUAUCAUAUUUGCCUCAAUCCAAAGCCCAUGUUUCUAAUCCCUAAUCUACAUCUGCUUACUUAGCCACUGGGGAAGCAUUCUGGAGGAGAUACAAGAUAGCUGAAUCUGAAAAGUAAAUGAAAUGAAGCAGACAAGGAAGGUGAGUAAGGAAGCUAACUUAAUCAAGAAGAAUGUAAUUUGCACACCAAAUGAGGGAAGGAAAUUAUGUUUUUAUGAAAACCAAAGCAAUUUUUUGUUACGUGAUUACACAUUGCAUAGAGAAAGUUGCAGACAUAAGGUUGAAGAGAUAGGCUGAGGUCAAAUUUUUGGGAGCUCAAAUGCCCAACCAGGAAGCUGGAGUUGCCUCAAGUCAUAGAAAAUUAUAAAAGCUCAGUCAGAGAAAUGGCAUGACUGGAUCUGCAUAUUUGACGUGUGUUCCAUCAGACCAGGUGGGAGGACAUCUCACUGAGCCAUUCUCAGGAUAUUUAAUAGAGAAAAUGGAACAAAUCUAUGAGAAAAGAGGGACUUCAAUCAAAAAAUAAAAUAAAAUAAAAUAAAAUGGAAGAGUUAUCAAUGUGCUCACACUUAAGCUCUGAAGAUGGGUAAGGAUUAAAAGUGAAACUUUGAAAAUCCUCUGUGUAGGAGGCCACAGUUGUACCUGGCUUAGUUCUCAGCAUUGGCUCCCUUGUGUGGGGCAGGACUAUGAUUUGGCCUCUGGUCUGCCUGAGGUUGUCUCACUGUUUCAGACAAUGAGGCAGAGCCUGGGCAUGCUGGGCCUGCCUCAUUCUUGGGCAUCUGUACUUGGUUCCAUUUGGCAUGUUCAGUCUAUACACAGCUUAACAAAGUACUUGUUUUAAGUCAUAAUGACUCUUACUUCAGGACUUGGGAAUCUUCUUUUUCCUUCCAUUAUGGUUUGGCUCUUUCCCCACACAAAUCUCAUCUUCAAUUGCAACUCCCACUUGUCAUGAGAGGAACUCAGUGGGAGGUGAUUGAAUUAUGGUGGCAGGUCUUUCCUGCACUGUUCUCAUGAUAGUGAAUGAAUCUCAUGAGAUC
rnacentral:lncRNA from 1 species